rnacentral:rRNA from 1 species
GUCGAGCGAUGAAACACCUUCGGGUGUGAAUUAGCGGCGAACGGGUGAGGAACACGUGAAGAAUCUGCCUUCAACUCUGGGAUAACUCCGGGAAACCGGGGCUAAUACCGGAUAUGAGCCUUGAUCGCAUGAUCGGGGCUGGAAAGUUUUUCGGUUGAAGAUGACUUCGCGGCCUAUCAGCUUGUUGGUGAGGUAAUGGCUCACCAAGGCGACGACGGGUAGCCGGCCUGAGAGGGCGACCGGCCACACUGGGACUGAGACACGGCCCAGACUCCUACGGGAGGCAGCAGUGGGGAAUAUUGGGCAAUGGAGGAAACUCUGACCCAGCGACGCCGCGUGAGGGAUGAAGGCCUUCGGGUUGUAAACCUCUUUCAGUAGGGAAGAAGCGAAAGUGACGGUACCUACAGAAGAAGCACCGGCUAACUAUGUGCCAGCAGCCGCGGUAAUACAUAGGGUGCAAGCGUUGUCCGGAAUUAUUGGGCGUAAAGAGCUCGUAGGUGGUUCGAUACGUCGGAUGUGAAAAUCAGGGGCUCAACCCCUGACCUGCAUCCGAUACGGUCGAGCUAGAGUUUGGUAGGGGAGACUGGAAUUCCUGGUGUAGCGGUGGAAUGCGCAGAUAUCAGGGAGGAACACCCGAUGGCGAAGGCAGGUCUCUGGGCCAAUACUGACACUGAGGAGCGAAAGCGUGGGGGAGCGAACAGGAUUAGAUACCCUGGUAGU